rnacentral:lncRNA from 1 species
UGCAAUCGCAUCUUUUCAGCUUACACCUCCCACUCCAGUCCCCAUCCAUUCAAGAUUUCUUUGGCUGACAAGUUUAUUUUUUCCCUGUCCCUCACACCUAAAGACAAAGUGACACCAGAUUAACCUGAUUUUCAUCUAUUUUUAAGACAUCAAACCGAGUGCUGAGGAUCUGAGGACCUCCCUGGACCCUCUGAAUUCCAGAAUAAAGUCCCAGAUAUGGAUUGGCAUAAUAUGGUCUGAAUGGCCACCUCCAAGGAGAAAGAGAUCUAAUGUAAUCAACCUGUCACCAGGCAGCUGGCUGAUGCCCUCCAGACACAAGAAUUUUCCUCUUCC